rnacentral:rRNA from 1 species
UACGAGGGGGGCGAGCGUUGUUCGGAAUUAUUGGGCGUAAAGGGUGCGUAGGCGGUUUGGUAAGUCUUAUGUGAAAUCUACAGGCUCAACUUGUAGUCUGCAUGAGAAACUGCCGGGCUUGAGUAUGGGAGAGGUGAGUGGAAUUGCUGGUGUAGCGGUGAAAUGCGUAGACAUCAGGAGGAACACCUGUGGCGAAAGCGGCUCACUGGACCAUAACUGACGCUGAUGCACGAAAGCUAGGGGAGCAAACAGG